UACGAAGGGGGCUAGCGUUGCUCGGAAUCACUGGGCGUAAAGCGCACGUAGGCGGCUUUUUAAGUCAGGGGUGAAAUCCUGGAGCUCAACUCCAGAACUGCCUUUGAUACUGAGAAGCUUGAGUUCGGGAGAGGUGAGUGGAACUGCGAGUGUAGAGGUGAAAUUCGUAGAUAUUCGCAAGAACACCAGUGGCGAAGGCGGCUCACUGGCCCGAUACUGACGCUGAGGUGCGAAAGCGUGGGGAGCAACAGG
rnacentral:rRNA from 1 species